GGGCCAGAAGCGGCACUGCGCAUGUCCCCCAGAUUUUAAACCUUCACCGGAGACGGCCGCCCUGGCAACCGCACAUGCGCGGGAAGCGGGAGGGAGACGGGAGCUGGGAAUGCUCCCCCGCCCCGCGCCGGCGCGGAGCGCGCGGCCGUGCUUCAGCCCCGGCGGCGGGCGGGGGGAGCGGCGGCGCGGUGCCCGUAGCUCCGAGACUCCCAGAGUCACGGAAUGGGUCCGGCUGGAAGGGACCACAGUGUCCAGCGUCCCUGCUCAAGCAGACGCGUCCCAGAGCAUGUGGCAUGCGGUUGCGUCCGGGCAGUUCUUGAAAAUCUCCAGUGAGGGAGACUCGACAGCCUCUCUGGGCAACCUGUUCCAGUAUGUGGUCACUCACACAGGAAAGAGGUUCUUCCUCAUGUUUAGGUAGAACUUCUUUUGUAUCAGUUGCUGCCCUUUUCUUGUUGUCUUAUUGCUUGGCACCGCCAAGAAGAGCCUGGCUCCAUCCCCUUGACAACUUUCCUUCAGAUGCUUACAGACGUUCAUGAGGUUCCCUCUCACUUGUCCUCCCUUGAAGCCUCUCCGUGAGCAGCUGGCACGGCUGCAGCCGUGCCUCCGUGUUGGUUUCUCACAAAUACUGAUUUGUCUGACCCCUCCAUGACACAGCUCAUCCCUGUGGAAAAGUGUAGCCCAGUUCCCACAAAAAUAAAAGGGUGGAUUUCGAGGACUAAUUCAGGAGAGAAGCAAGUGCAGGCAGACCUCCUUUGGGGAGGCUGAGCAGCAGAGUGUGGGGCUGGGCAGGGCCACUGCUCCCUGGGGGAAAGGGGAGGCCUGGGUGAUUUGUCCAGCAGCGCCAUGCAAGUUCAUAACCAAGAGAAGGCUUUCCUUGGAUUGGUAGCCCCAAGAAAGCACUGCAUUUCAACUGGGUACUUCAAUUUUUAUUGGGCUUGAGUCCAGGACUGAACAGGAGAGGGAGACAGUGCCUCUUCCAAGGGGUGUCUCUAAGGGAUGGGUGUCGCAUGCAGUGACCAUUAAGUAAAAUGGACGCUGCUAGUGGAACAGGAUCAGACACAGUCUCACCAUGAUCUGAAGAUGGGCUGUAAGAGCCAGCCUCCCAGAAUUAUGUCUGUAAUGGUUCUCUUUCUAAUCCAGUGGUUUGCCUAUUUCCUUGAGCAACUUCAGUGUGCAUAUGGGUAAAGUGUCCUCUCCAGAGGUACCCCCAGAAACUCCAGCAGUCUAGGACUCCCCAAACUGUUCAGCAGAGCCCUUAACAUGACUACAGAACAGCAGAGAGAAGAGUUGUGCGUGUAUAAAGCCAAAUACUAUCAGGGAAUCGUAGUUAGCACAGCCCUCCAAUGCAGCUGCAUGGUACUUCUUGAAUGAACUAGCUGCUGCAGAAGGUGAGAAAAGGAGAGGUCCUGCUCUCUAUAAUCCUGCUAAUUCCUUUCCCUGCUGCCUUGCACAAUCUCUGAUAUUGAUCAGUGAGCCAAUUUAACUUUUUAAUUCAGAGAAGACUGCACUUGGAAGAAAAGUAACAGUUUUCAGCAGUUCAUUUUGAAUUAGCUUACUUUGUGAUCAGAGCUGGCACUAGGAGGGGGUGGAGAGAGGAUGAGAGAACAAGACUGUCAUUUGUUAGCAAAAUUGUUGUGCUUGAUGCAGUCGUAUUCUCGAACUAUGCCCUUAGACUUCAGAGCAAGGGAAACUGAUAUGAGGGUGACAGUCUAAUAUUUAUUACCGGAAGUCAUUCAGAAAAAGCAGGUCUUUAAUUUAUUUUUGUUAAAGAAUAGGAUUGCUUUCAGGACUAACAGCCAAAGUACACAUAAAAGUACACAGUAAACUAACCAAGCCCAAACCACAUGAAAGAGCUAUUAAUUAUUUGUCAUGUAGAAGUAUGUUCACCACAAUUUCUUGCAUGGUCAAUGAAGUGUUCAGAUCUUCAACAGAGAUUUCAACUUGAUUUACUGAUAGCAGUCCUUUGUUUUAUGGUUCAUCUUCCAUAGGAUUUUGGAUUGUUUUGGUUUGGUUUUAAUUGAACCUGAAGACAAAUAAACAGGCCCCUCGACUCUGUUCUUAUAGAUGCUGUAAGAAAUAAACCAGACAAUUACACUGUCUCUUCUUUCAGCCCUAAAUACUUUGCAUUCUUGCCUCUAUGAUGGCCUGGGUACAGCAAGGAGAGGUGAAGAUGGACAGUAUUUCUGAAAGCAUAGCUGCUGUGGUAUGCUAAUGGUUGAAGUAGCUGCUUUGUAGAUCAGCUGUGAAAGGCUGAGGCAGCUAUAGAGCCAACAUCUCAGUCUUUUUAUUUCCGUGUUUUGACUUUUCAUACAUCCAGUAAAGGUCACAUCUUCAACCUGCUGAGCUAAAACUCUUAAAAUAAAGAAAUACUGAUCGGUGUUUUCAUAGAAUCAUAGAAUCACUGAGUGGUUUGCAUUGGAAGGAACCUUAAAGAUCACCUAGUUCCACCUAGCUUUGUCAGUGCCAACCCUCCUGCCACAGGCAGGGACGCCUUCCACUAGACCAGGUUGCUCGAAGAGGUGGAGAGGGAAACCAAAAAGACACAAUGGCCAAUCAUAUGGAGACCUUUCCAAGCUCAACAGUUUCAUGACCUGUUUGCUUUGUUUGCUUCCCUGCCCUGCUGCCUUUUUUAAAAGUCGACACUUUCAAGACGGCCUGAUUUCCCUUUUUGCUAAAAUUAUCUUCAACUUCAUUUUCAGGUCUAAGUGGUAGAGACCACUGCUUUGUAAGAGGCAGUAACUCAGAAACAGCUUUUGAAUGAGGAGACACUCUCACCAGCACUGUCUUGGAAGAGGCUAGGCUGUUUCCUGAAGUAGCCACAAAGAGAGUUAUCUCUCACCGGCUUAAGUUGUGUUAGAAAGAAUUUCUGAAGAUACAAUAGAGCUUUGUCAGUUCUUUGUAUGGGUUCAAGGCAGCAGAUACUAUGUAAAUGUAAUAGAGAACAUGGGAAGGAUGGAUGGGCACAAUGUGUUUGAAGGUCUGCAUUUUAAGUACUUGAAGAAGAAGGACAUCUCUGAGAAACCUAUAAGCAAUGAUUUGAUAGUACACCAGUUCCUUUAUCUCAUGAUGAUUUGUCAAAUCUUGUAGCACAUCACUGAAAUAUCUCUGCAAAAAAGGAGGUAUUACAUGUUUCCUACAUAAAUGUGCACAAUAUAGAGAAAUAAUACCCAGUGGUCUGUAGUGACACAACAAGAAGAAAGAUUAUCAUCUUCUAACAUCAGCUUUUUCUCUCCUCUGUUUCUAGCCUCUCCAGUGAGAAAUCUAAAUAAAGCGUGUUUCUAAUCUUGUCUCCUUAAAGUGAGAAUUUCCCUCUAAAAGUAGCAAGUGAGAACUUCCUUUGCAAGGAUUAAGUUUUUUUAAAGUCUUGUUGAUUUUAAUUCAGUUGUUCUUUACUGACUGAAACUCCAUACUGAAGAUUAAAUUCUCAGAAUGUUUGGAAGUCAAGUACAGUUUGAAUCAAAAAUAUCCUUUCUUUUUAAUAAAGCUUCAUUCCCACUGUUGAAUUUGUGAGGAUGCAGGUAAUGAAAAUUCUCCCUAUAUACUUGGCACUGGUGAGGCUGCACCUUGAAUCCCGUGUCCAGUUCUGAGCCCCUCAAAUCAGGAAAGACAUUGAGGUGCUGGAGCAAGUCCAGAAGAGGGCAGCAAAACUGAUGAAGGGUCUGGAGCACGAAUUCCAUAAGGAAUGGCUGAGGGGGCUGAGGUUGUUAAGCCUGUAGAAAAGGAGGCUCGGGGUGUUAUAACUCUCUACAACUGCCUGAAAGGAGGCUAUAGGCAGCUGGGGGUUGGUCUCUUCUCCCAGCCAACCACUGACAGCCUCAAGGAUACAGCCUCAAGCUGUGCCAGGGGAGGUUUAGGUUGGACAUUAGGAGGAAUUACUUCACAAAAGGGGUGAUUAGACAUUGGAAUGGGCUGCCCAGGGAGGUAGUGGAGUCACCAUCCCUAGAGGUGUAUAAGGAAAGACUGGACAUGAAAUUUGGAUUUUGCCCCGUAUGAUCUUGAUUCUGGCCACCCACAAUCACACUGCCAGCCUCUGAUGCAUCACCUCCUUCAUGCUCACCAGCUCUGAUCUCUUUUGUAGCAUUUGUGGCCCUUAGCCAUUCACUUAAGAGCUGGACUCAAUUAUCCUUGAGGGUCCCUUCCAGCUCAGAAUAUUCUGUGGUUCUGUGAUGGGAUGGAUGGAGAAGGCACAGGGACUAGGGCUCAGCAGUAUAACUGACCACACUUGUGCCUGAUGAAGGUGAGGAGAGGAAAGAACUGGACAAACAAGGUCUCAAGCUAGAUGGGGGUAUGAGAGAAAGACUGUAUCACCGAAGGAGGUGCAUCUCUAACAAGUGACCUUCAGAGUGUGCUAGUCACCAGGAGAUAAUGUUGGGGAGGAGGUAACAGGGAUACAGUUUCCUUAGCUGCAUUAUUAUCACUUUUUUUUUUUUCCUCAGUAAAUACAUUCCUGAAUGAGAUAGUGGAGAUACAAUUUUCAUGUCUCAUAUGUAGCUGAUCACAACAGGGAGACAAGUAGAAAUCCAGAACAUCCGUUUCUGGUUCUAGCAAGACAUGAUUUGGGGCAUUCUUUUAAUCUGUUGUCUGGAAAUGCAAGCUUUUACCUUCUUCAAAAUGGCUUGUGUUUCCCUUUAAAGAAGGCCAAGUAUGAGUAACCCUGAACAGGCUUAAACCAUUUUAAAUUUUCUCCCUUAAGCCUUCUACUUGGCUCAGUCCUUCCUCUCUUCAAGGCUCUAUGUCCUCUUCUGAUGAACUGUAAGCAUCAGCCAAAUUUAAGUUGUUGAGAUAUAUUCAGAGCCAAUUAAGUACAGAGCCUGAAACAGCUGUCAACCACCAGCCAUCUCCUCUUCCCACCCUGUCUUCCUUGCUCUUACAAGGGCUGCCAGCCCUGUGUCAGAGAAGCUGAACACAUGAUAAAUCAGCAGCUGAACAGCUGCAGCUUCCAGCCAGGCAUGUUCAUGCACAUGAAAAUCCUUCUCUAGCUGCCCACAUGGAAUAGCUGUGUGGUAAAUGGAGAAGGCGUGGGAGGCGGUUCACAAGGCAUUCCGUUCCCUUUGCAUCCAGGGUGGGAUCAGAGUAGGAGAGGGUGCACGGACAGCCGGGUGUGAUUCUUGCCUCACACUGUUGGCUGUGUGUUAACACUUCUGGUGGGAACUCUGCCUCAGAGACCUUUCAUCACUCUGUGCAUGGCAUGGAUGGGCAAUACUACAACAGGAGCAAGGUGGUCCCAGGAUCAUCUUUAAGUUGUUGCUCUCCAGGCUGCUGCAGAGGACAGCUGAGGGCAUGCGGAACGUGUUGUGUGAGUCCUGGCAGAGGGCAGGGAUCUAUGAAGAUUUUGGAAGUACUUUUUUAAGUGGGAUCUGUGGAGUGGUAUGAAAUCAGAUGCUCUGUCUUCUGUCCUGGUUAACACAGAGCCCUGCAAAGAGUCACUUUUGUCGGAAGGGUUGCUUGCCUUUGAAUGACAGGUUGAGAGAAUAUAUUCAGGCCACUCUCAUGGAAGUUCAUAGUAAUAAACUGGUUAGAAUUCCUCCCUUACUUGUGUUUCCAAUCUAGGUGGUCCCAGGAUCAUCUUUAAGUUGUUGCUCUCCAGGCUGCUGCAGAGGACAGCUGAGGGCAUGCGGAACGUGUUGUGUGAGUCCUGGCAGAGGGCAGGGAUCCCAACUGACGGUGUGAUUGCAUGUGCACUAACAUGGAAGGAAAAAGGAGAUCUGGCUAGACUGUCUUCUAGGAGAAGAAUCUAUAAGUAAUGCCUUGUUCCUCCUAGGAACAAUAUUAGAAUAAAACCUCUUUCAUCAU